CUCGUCAGGGCUCGUAACAUCAGAUCUGAAAGUUCAGAGUCUGUCAUAUGCCCCCUCCCCCCAAAAAUUGCCAGUACUCACAACCAUACUUAAACAUCCCUUGUUUAUUGUUUCAGCAUUCUAAAGAGACAGCGAGACAGAGGGAGGGAGACAGCUUCAUGAACCAUUUUGCAAAUG